CCUACGGGGGGCUGCAGUGAGGAAUAUUGGUCAAUGGGCGAGAGCCUGAACCAGCCAAGUCGCGUGAAGGAUGACGGCCCUACGGGUUGUAAACUUCUUUUGUCAGGGAGCAAUUGAGUCCACGUGUGGUCUUAGCGAGAGUACCUGAAGAAAAAGCAUCGGCUAACUCCGUGCCAGCAGCCGCGGUAAUACGGAGGAUGCGAGCGUUAUCCGGAUUUAUUGGGUUUAAAGGGUGCGUAGGCGGAAUAUCAAGUCAGCGGUAAAAAUUCGGGGCUCAACCCCGCUCCGCCGUUGAAACUGGGUCCCUGGAGUGCGCGAAGGGUAGGCGGAAUGCGUGGUGUAGCGGUGAAAUGCAUAGAUAUCACGCAGAACUCCGAUCGCGAAGGCAGCCUACCGGCGCGCAACUGACGCUCAUGCACGAAAGCGUGGGUAUCGAACAGGAUUAGAUACCCGAGUAGUC
rnacentral:rRNA from 1 species